GCCGGGUGUGGUGGUGCACGCCUGUAUUCCCAGCUACUCGGGAGGCUGAGGCAGGGGAAUCACUUGAACCCAGGAGGUGGAGAUUGCAGUGAGCUGAGAUCACGCCACUGCACUCCAGCCUGGUGACAGAGUGAGACUCUGUCUCAA
ensembl:misc_RNA Metazoa_SRP Metazoan signal recognition particle RNA